UACCAACUGUGUGGAGGAGGGAUGGGGGCUGUGCACGAUCACAGAAGACUUGUAACAUGUGGACAUGCCAACAGUUUUGUUGUCAUUACUUAGAAUUCCUCAUAGGAGAGACAGAAACUACAA